rnacentral:rRNA from 1 species
GUCUGACGGAGCACGCCGCGUGAGUGAUGAAGGUUUUCGGAUCGUAAAACUCUGUUGUUAGGGAAGAACAAGUACGAGAGUAACUGCUCGUACCUUGACGGUACCUAACCAGAAAGCCACGGCUAACUACGUGCCAGCAGCCGCGGUAAUACGUAGGUGGCAAGCGUUGUCCGGAAUUAUUGGGCGUAAAGCGCGCGCAGGCGGUCCUUUAAGUCUGAUGUGAAAGCCCACGGCUCAACCGUGGAGGGUCAUUGGAAACUGGGGGACUUGAGUGCAGAAGAGAAGAGUGGAAUUCCACGUGUAGCGGUGAAAUGCGUAGAGAUGUGGAGGAACACCAGUGGCGAAGGCGACUCUUUGGUCUGUAACUGACGCUGAGGCGCGAAAGCGUGGGGAGCAAACAGGAUUAGAUACCC